UUAGAGACAUUAUUCACUAAUCCUAAGUCAUAUUUUCUAUGUGAUGAAUAUAGUUCCCAAAUAAAAGAGUGAUUAUUAUGAUAUUCGGAAGAAAAUACCACGUAACUAAUCUUAUCUUCAAAUAAGGGAUUUCUUGAUUUAUGUCAGAAUCUCGGAUCUCAAGCAAUUUGUAUGUAAAGACUUAUGAAUGUAUAAUCAUUGAACAUGUAUUCAUUGAAUAUGUAAUAAA
rnacentral:lncRNA from 1 species